UUAGAGUUUGAUCCUGGCUCAGGAUGAACGCUGGCGGCAUGCCUAAUACAUGCAAGUCGAACGAGAGACCUUCGGGUCUCUAGUGGCGAACGGGUGAGUAACACGUAGGGAACCUGCCCGCGCACCGGGAAUACGCUCUGGAAACGGAGAACAAAUCCCGAAGUACAGGAAGGAGGCAUCUUCUUUCUGUGAAACAUCCUUUCGGGGAUGGGGCGCGGAUGGACCUGCGGUGCAUUAGUUGGUUGGCGGGGUAAAGGCCCACCAAGACGAUGAUGCAUAGCCGGCCUGAGAGGGCGGACGGCCACAUUGGGACUGAGACACGGCCCAGACUCCUGCGGGAGGCAGCAGUAGGGAAUUUUCGUCAAUGGGCGCAAGCCUGAACGAGCGAUGCCGCGUGAGUGAAGGAGGCCUUCGGGUCGUAAAGCUCUGUUGCGGGGGAAAAAAGGCAGCAUCAGGAAAUGGGUGCUGACUGAUGGAGCCCCGCCAGAAAGUCACGGCUAACUACGUGCCAGCAGCCGCGGUAAUACGUAGGUGGCGAGCGUUAUCCGGAAUGAUUGGGCGUAAAGGGUGCGCAGGCGGUCCUGCAAGUCUGGAGUGAAACGCAUGAGCUCAACUCAUGCAUGGCUUUGGAAACUGGAGGACUGGAGAGCAGGAGAGGGCGGUGGAACUCCAUGUGUAGCGGUAAAAAUGCGUAGAUAUAUGGAAGAACACCAGUGGCGAAGGCGGGCCGCCUGGCCUGUUGCUGACGCUGAGGCACGAAAGCGUGGGGAGCAAAUAGGAUUAGAUACCCUAGUAGUCCACGCCGUAAACGAUGAGGACCAAGUGUUGGGGGUGAAACCUCAGUGCUGAAGUUAACGCAGUGAGUCCUCCGCCUGGGGAGUAUGCACGCAAGUGUGAAACUCAAAGGAAUUGACGGGGGCCCGCACAAGCGGUGGAGUAUGUGGUUUAAUUCGAAGCAACGCGAAGAACCUUACCAGGCCUUGACAUCCUGAUGGCGUAGGCGUAACGGCUUAUUCCCCUCGGGGCAUCAGAGACAGGUGGUGCAUGGUUGUCGUCAGCUCGUGUCGUGAGAUGUUGGGUCAAGUCCCGCAACGAGCGCAACCCUUAUUCCCAGUAGCCAGCAUUUUGGAUGGGCACUCUGGGGAGACUGCCGGGGAAGACCCGGAGGAAGGCGGGGAUGACGUCAAAUCAUCAUGCCCCUUAUGGCCUGGGCUACACACGUGCUACAAUGGCGCAUACAAAGGGAGGCGAAGGAGCGAUCUGAAGCAAAUCCCAGAAAAGGCGCCCCAGUUCGGAUUGCAGCCUGCAACUCGGCUGCAUGAAGCUGGAAUCGCUAGUAAUCGCGGAUCAGAAUGCCGCGGUGAAUACGUUCCCGGGUCUUGCACUCACCGCCCGUCA
rnacentral:rRNA from 1 species